rnacentral:rRNA from 1 species
GAUGAACGCUGGCGGCGUGCCUAAUACAUGCAAGUCGAGCGAACAGACGAGGAGCUUGCUCCUCUGACGUUAGCGGCGGAGGGGUGAGUAACACGUGGAUAACCUACCUAUAAGACUGGGAUAAUUUCGGGAAACCGGAGCUAAUACCGGAGAAUAUAUUGAACCGCAUGGUUCAAUAGUGAAAGACGGCUUUGCUGUCACUUAUAGAUGGAUCCGCGCCGCAUUAGGUAGUUGGGAAGGUAACGGCUUACCAAGGCAACGAUGCGUAGCCGACCUGAGAGGGUGAUCGGCCACACUGGAACUGGAACACGGACCAGACUCCUACGGGAGGCAGCAGUAGGGAAUCUUCCGCAGUGGGCGAAAGCCUGGCGGAGCAACGCCGCGUGAGUGAUGACGGUCUUCGGAUCGUAAAACUCUGUUAUUAGGGAAGAACAAAUGUGUAAGUAACUAUGCACUUCUUGACGGUACCUAGUCAGAAAGCCACGGCUAACUACGUG